rnacentral:rRNA from 1 species
GGGUUGUGAGGUUAAGCGACUAAGCGUACACGGUGGAUGCCCUGGCAGUCAGAGGCGAUGAAGGACGUGCUAAUCUGCGAAAAGCGUCGGUAAGGUGAUAUGAACCGUUAUAACCGGCGAUGUCCGAAUGGGGAAACCCAGUGUGAUUCGUCACACUAUCGUUAACUGAAUACAUAGGUUAACGAGGCGAACCGGGGGAACUGAAACAUCUAAGUACCCCGAGGAAAAGAAAUCAACCGAGAUUCCCCCAGUAGCGGCGAGCGAACGGGGAGCAGCCCAGAGUCUGAAUCAGCUUGUGUGUUAGUGGAACGGUCUGGAAAGUCCGACGGUACAGGGUGAUAGUCCCGUACACCAAAAUGCACAGGCUGUGAACUCGAAGAGUAGGGCGGGACACGUGGUAUCCUGUCUGAAUAUGGGGGGACCAUCCUCCAAGGCUAAAUACUCCUGACUGACCGAUAGUGAACCAGUACCGUGAGGGAAAGGCGAAAAGAACCCCGGCGAGGGGAGUGAAAAAGAACCUGAAACCGUGUACGUACAAGCAGUGGGAGCACCUUCGGGUGUGACUGCGUACCUUUUGUAUAAUGGGUCAGCGACUUAUAUUCUGUAGCAAGGUUAACCGUAUAGGGGAGCCGCAGGGAAACCGAGUCUUAACUGGGCGUUAAGUUGCAGGGUAUAGACCCGAAACCCGGUGAUCUAGCCAUGGGCAGGUUGAAGGUUGGGUAACACUAACUGGAGGACCGAACCGACUAAUGUUGAAAAAUUAGCGGAUGACUUGUGGCUGGGGGUGAAAGGCCAAUCAAACCGGGAGAUAGCUGGUUCUCCCCGAAAGCUAUUUAGGUAGCGCCUCGUGAAUUCAUCUUCGGGGUAGAGCACUGUUUCGGCUAGGGGGUCAUCCCGACUUACCAACCCGAUGCAAACUACGAAUACCGAAGAAUGUUAUCACGGGAGACACACGGCGGGUGCUAACGUCCGUCGUGAAGAGGGAAACAACCCAGACCGCCAGCUAAGGUCCCAAAGUCAUGGUUAAGUGGGAAACGAUGUGGGAAGGCACAGACAGCCAGGAUGUUGGCUUAGAAGCAGCCAUCAUUUAAAGAAAGCGUAAUAGCUCACUGGUCGAGUCGGCCUGCGCGGAAGAUGUAACGGGGCUAAACCAUGCACCGAAGCUGCGGCAGCGACACUAUGUGUUGUUGGGUAGGGGAGCGUUCUGUAAGCCUGCGAAGGUGACCUGUGAGGGUUGCUGGAGGUAUCAGAAGUGCGAAUGCUGACAUAAGUAACGAUAAAGCGGGUGAAAAGCCCGCUCGCCGGAAGACCAAGGGUUCCUGUCCAACGUUAAUCGGGGCAGGGUGAGUCGACCCCUAAGGCGAGGCCGAAAGGCGUAGUCGAUGGGAAACAGGUUAAUAUUCCUGUACUUGGUGUUACUGCGAAGGGGGGACGGAGAAGGCUAUGUUAGCCGGGCGACGGUUGUCCCGGUUUAAGCAUGUAGGCUGGUUGUCCAGGCAAAUCCGGAUAAUCAAGGCUGAGGUGUGAUGACGAGGCACUACGGUGCUGAAGUAACAAAUGCCCUGCUUCCAGGAAAAGCCUCUAAGCAUCAGGUAACAUCAAAUCGUACCCCAAACCGACACAGGUGGUCAGGUAGAGAAUACCAAGGCGCUUGAGAGAACUCGGGUGAAGGAACUAGGCAAAAUGGUGCCGUAACUUCGGGAGAAGGCACGCUGGUGUGUAGGUGAAGCCCCUGCGGGUGGAGCUGAGACCAGUCGAAGAUACCAGCUGGCUGCAACUGUUUAUUAAAAACACAGCACUGUGCAAACACGAAAGUGGACGUAUACGGUGUGACGCCUGCCCGGUGCCGGAAGGUUAAUUGAUGGGGUUAUCCGUAAGGAGAAGCUCUUGAUCGAAGCCCCGGUAAACGGCGGCCGUAACUAUAACGGUCCUAAGGUAGCGAAAUUCCUUGUCGGGUAAGUUCCGACCUGCACGAAUGGCGUAAUGAUGGCCAGGCUGUCUCCACCCGAGACUCAGUGAAAUUGAACUCGCUGUGAAGAUGCAGUGUACCCGCGGCAAGACGGAAAGACCCCGUGAACCUUUACUAUAGCUUGACACUGAACAUUGAGCCUUGAUGUGUAGGAUAGGUGGGAGGCUUUGAAGCGUGGACGCCAGUCUGCGUGGAGCCAACCUUGAAAUACCACCCUUUAAUGUUUGAUGUUCUAACGUUGGCCCCUUACCGGGGUUGCGGACAGUGUCUGGUGGGUAGUUUGACUGGGGCGGUCUCCUCCCAAAGCGUAACGGAGGAGCACGAAGGUUAGCUAAUCCUGGUCGGACAUCAGGAGGUUAGUGCAAUGGCAUAAGCUAGCUUGACUGCGAGCGUGACGGCGCGAGCAGGUGCGAAAGCAGGUCAUAGUGAUCCGGUGGUUCUGAAUGGAAGGGCCAUCGCUCAACGGAUAAAAGGUACUCCGGGGAUAACAGGCUGAUACCGCCCAAGAGUUCAUAUCGACGGCGGUGUUUGGCACCUCGAUGUCGGCUCAUCACAUCCUGGGGCUGAAGUAGGUCCCAAGGGUAUGGCUGUUCGCCAUUUAAAGUGGUACGCGAGCUGGGUUUAGAACGUCGUGAGACAGUUCGGUCCCUAUCUGCCGUGGGCGCUGGAGAAUUGAGGGGGGCUGCUCCUAGUACGAGAGGACCGGAGUGGACGCAUCACUGGUGUUCGGGUUGUCAUGCCAAUGGCACUGCCCGGUAGCUAAAUGCGGAAGAGAUAAGUGCUGAAAGCAUCUAAGCACGAAACUUGCCCCGAGAUGAGUUCUCCCUGAGACUUUAAGUCUCCUGAAGGAACGUUGAAGACGACGACGUUGAUAGGCCGGGUGUGUAAGCGCAGCGAUGCGUUGAGCUAACCGGUACUAAUGAACCGUGAGGCUUAACCUUACAACGCCGAAG